UCGUGAAUUAAUGAAUGAAACUGGGCGUGAACUCACUCACUCGGCAACGGCAGCGUAGACGUCGUCGUAUUUAUUGUCAGUCACUCAUAAAGAAAGAAAAAAAAAAUGAGAGGAAAUAUUAAAGGUCUAGUAACAAGGACGCGACGUUUUCCGUGCCCAUGCGGUUUUAUUAUAUUAUUAUCACGUUUAUAAUAGCUAGCUGUAUUUAUCGUUCCUCUCUCCCUCGUCCCUUGAUAUUAGACCAACAAGGUACAGAGGCCGGAUUUUUAUGUAAUUAAUUACACAAGACUAAGAUCGAAAAGCUCGGUGGAACGACAAGACAAGUUAAUUAAUAUUGAAUUUUUUAUAAUUUCGAUUAAGCCGUAUAUAAUAAAUAUGGAAAAAAUAGUGAUAAGAACUUGUCUGGUUCAAUCGAAUUCCGAGCAAAAAUUAAUCAAGUUUCAUAAACAAUUUCG